GACGACGCUGGCGGCGUGCCUAAUACAUGCAAGUAGAACGAGUGGCGGACGGGUGCGUAAUGUCUGGGCAACUGCCUGAUGGAUGGGGAUAACUACUGGAAAAGGUAGCUAAUACCGCAUACCAUCAGAUGUGCCCAGAUGGGAUUAGCUAAUAGGUGGGGUAAAGGCUCACCUAGGCGACGAUCCCUAGCUGGUCUGAGAGGAUGACCAGCCACACUGGAACUGAGACACGGUCCAGACUCCUACGGGAGGCAGCAGUGGGGAAUAUUGCACAAUGGGCGCAAGCCUGAUGCAGCCAUGCCGCGUGUAGGAAGAAGGCCUUCGGGUUGUAAAGUACUUUCAGCGGGGAGGCGUUACUUGCAGAAGAAGCACCGGCUAACUCCGUGCCAGCAGCCGCGGUAAUAC
rnacentral:rRNA from 1 species